UCAAAGUCCCAUCCAGUCUGUCCUUGAAUAUGGCUAUGAUGUCUAUGUAAAUAGUUCAUAUAUAAACCAUUUUUUCUCCAUAGACCAUCUUCAUAGUGGGUAGUUGAACAACCUUGGAAAUAAAACAUGUAUGCAUGUUGCAAAAAAAUUAAACAUUGCUAUUGUUAAUAACACAGUUCACUUUGCCUUUCAGUAUAUGUAAACUUCUCUCCAUGUUUGGACCAAGGAUUGGACAUGAGGGUUUUUUACAUCAGUUAUGUGACAGUUCCUCUUCUUUAAAGAAUCAUCCAGAAGUUGGACGAGUGUCAUGCCUGGACCGGGCUUUGAGCUGAGAAGGAAACUUCUCUAUUGAGAGACCAUCUUUCACCUUUUGCUAGUACUGAGCAACUAAAAGGAGAAGUUGCCUAAUUUGAAAGCAAGAGCCAUACAUGCAGGAGGGGAGAAAGAUGAAGAUGCAGCGCAAAGGCAGGGAACAAUGUUUUUACCUUCUUUCAAGUAGAACCCUAUAGUGACAGAAGCUACAUUCCUAACCUCCUGGGAAGCAAAUACCAGAGAAUAACAGAAGUGUGUAUCCUGAUUGUGUGUAAUCAAGGUAGAACAAUUAAAUUUACUCCAUGUGUUCUGAUGAUGUCCUAUUUAAAUCAAGACAAUAUCUGCAGAUUAUCACUGGGAAGAGCCUCCCAAUAUCAGUUUCUAUUACAUUUGCAUCUGUUCAACAGAACUUAAGAAGAAUUUGUAUAAAAUAGAAAUAAAACUUAAAGAAAAAUAGCAGAAUAGGCUUCAUCUGGGAGCAAAGCAAUUUAGAGAUGGAAUAUGUUUUGUUAUUUUAAAACACUUAUGGUUGCAGAGGAGCACUUAUCCAAGAGGCUGAACAUUUCGCUUAUGUGACAUGUAACGUAUGUCAAGAAUAUUAAAGCUAAUAUCCCUGUUUUGAAGCUUUGUAUACUUAAUGUUAGCUAAAGGUAUCUUGUGAAUUGUUGCUGUGAAAAAGGAGUUAGCAACAAGAUAGUCUCAUUUUCAGAGGAUAUUUUAUUGAUUGAGUUGCUACAAUUUUGAAGGGAACUCAAAAGAUUAAGGAAGCAAGUGAAUUAGCUUAAUAAGGCUAA